ACUGCCUCUAGAGGCAUGCAGAUAGCUGCUUUGCCACAAGUUCUUUGGUAUGUGCCAGAGAGCCUAUGAUGCUCAGUGUUCUGACCGAUGAACAUUGGGAUAAUUAGUAGCCUAACAGU
rnacentral:snoRNA from 1 species